ensembl:snoRNA small nucleolar RNA, C/D box 49A
UGCUCUGAUGAAAUCAAAAUAGGAAGUGCCGUCAGAAGCGAUAACUGACGAUAACGACCCCUGGCUGACU